CUAGUGUUAUCUGAUGCUAUUGCCUAUGUUUAAUCCAUCAAUGAAAGUCUUGCAUCAAUUAGAAAUUGUCUAAGUUGCUUGCAUCAUUGGUUCUGAUUGAAACUGUUGUGCAGAGCUUUAAUAUUACUCAUGGAUUGAACCUGUUGCAUUCAUAUAGCUAAUGCUUUAAAAAUGAGCCUAAAUUGCAAAUGUACUGAUAAGCUUUGCAUUUAGAGAACUGUAUAGAACUUGCAUUGUCAUUGUUAGAAAUUGAAAUCUGGUUGUCUUGACUCAGUCCUGUUCUGAUUGUUGCUAUGCCAUAGUUAAAUCCAUCAGUGAUGUCUUAUAAGCAUUAGUAGUAUGUCUAAGCUACUUGAAUCAUUGGCUUUGAUAAAAGUAGUGAGCAUAAGCAUGAAUUGAGUCACUCUUGUCGUCUUGAUUGCAUAAGUAUCAUCUAGACUUGUGUUCCAUUUGGAUUGAAUCUGUUUCAUUCAUAUAGUUAGUGUGUAACCUAAUGCAUUCAUCUAUUGUUGCAUUUAAAAAAAAAAAAAAAACAAAACUGAAUUGAUUGUCUUUGCUUGAUUGUCUAGCUUGUCUCAAGUAUCCUAUAUUAUUGUGGCAUUGGUGAUCAAACAGGAUGGAUAAUCUUGGUUUGAUCCCAAUGGGAUGAUCUGAUCUUGCAUUGAGUUGUGGUGGUGUUAGGUACACAAGGAAUGUGAUACAUGAAACUCGCCAACAACCAAGAAUGUAAAGACAAAGAUCUUGUGCCAUUGCAUAUCAUCACUAGGAAGUGUAGUGUGAUUGAGUAUGCAAUGAGAGAUGGCCAU
rnacentral:lncRNA from 1 species